UGAUGCAGCCAUGCCGCGUGUAUGAAGAAGGCCUUCGGGUUGUAAAGUACUUUCAGCGAGGAGGAAGGCAUUGUGGUUAAUAACCGCAGUGAUUGACGUUACUCGCAGAAGAAGCACCGGCUAACUCCGUGCCAGCAGCCGCGGUAAU
rnacentral:rRNA from 1 species